rnacentral:lncRNA from 1 species
UAGAGCGUAAUUUAUCCAGGAGAAUCUUCCUCUAAGCAGCGCUGUAAUCUUCUAUGCUGGACACACUGAAGAUUUGCUGGACAUUCUGAUGGCAAAAACAGGGAGCUUACCUCUUCUGGGCUUUGAUGAUCUCUCUACUUUUCUCAAGAAACUUGAAGUGGAUUCUGGCAUUCUAGCGGAACUGAGAGGCGUUCCUUUUUAGAGGCAUGCCUUACAAACAUGAAAAGUUCCUUAUUUUCCAGGCUGUGGCUCCAAGGCCUAUGCCAACCGAAAGAACAGGCACAGCUACAGCAGAGCGUCACCACUGCCAUCAGCAGAGAAACCAGGGAGUCCAGAAUCUCAGCGCUUCACCUGGAUACAGUGACACUGAGCGCGUGGCCACCGCUCAACAGCGCGCGCAAACCCCCGUCGCUGCCCCCAGCGGCCGGCAGGGGGCGCCCGCACUCGCCGUGACCGACCCUCCGGCGCCGCCCGCCCAGCGGGGCCCGCCUGGGGCUCCGGCCGCGGACACGGGGAGACCCGGCGCGUCGCCGUCCGCGGGAGCCCGGCCCGGGCGAGGCGCCGCGGGGCUCAGGGACCGCGCGGGGCGGGACAACGCGGAGCAAACGCUUCCUUUCGGCCCGACGCCGCGGGGAGCUCCGCCGGGGCCCCGCCAGAGCCUUCCGCUGCCUGCGCCUGCCCGCGUCCAUCCUUCCCUUUCUCCUGGAAGGUCGGGGCCACACCGUUUCCAAGAGCGCGCGCUCAUUCGGGGACCGGCGGCUCGAGCAGCUACUCCAUCUGGCCUUUUAAUGGCAUUGACCCAGACUCCAUGGAUGUAGGAGAAUACAGAGAGUCCUUUAAACAUUUGGCCAUGUGGGCUUCAGUGGGCUGAACAGUGGUCCACGUUGAGCCCAGAAAAACUGCACCCCCGUCAUACAUUGCAGAACCCACCUGUGGUGCGUGGGCUAUGUGUGUCCUGAAGAAGAUAUCCCACGACUUUACCAAGGACAUACUGAUCACAGAGGACACCUCAGCCCUGAUAGGUCAACUGUUUGCAUUGAGUACAAGAUCCUGCACAAUUUUUAGAAAAAAAAUGGCUGUAAAGAAAGCACUUACCCAAAAAAGGAGUUUGGCAGGCCUGAGAACAUCCCUGCAGGCAUUGUCUUUGUGCUCAAAGACAACCUCUCCUUCUACCUCCCCUGCCUGCAACACACACAUACACACACUCUUGCCAAGAUGGCACCAGGUCCAUCUCAGCUUAUCAGUGUUCCAGUCAGUCACCAGAGCCUGAGUCAGGUCGUGGGGGAGAGGGUUGAGGAGUGGGAGUGGCCUGAUUAGUGAUGAUGGAGACACUCCCACUCCUUCCCACCCACUGGGUCCUUCUUUCCCCUCUUCUUUUGUUUCCCUCCUUUCUACUUCCACAACUCUGACCUUUUCCUUACUCUCUCCUCAUUUUCCUGCAGGCGCUGUGUGGCUGCAUGUGAACAUCCCUAUCACUGAUGACUGUGUGUCCCACUUCCCCUGCAUUGAUGUCAUCGAGCCAGGCAACAGUGUAGUCUCAGUGAGGAGCUGCUUCCUUGCCCACGGUGACCAGCCGGCAGGAAGAAUUCAUUUUUGAGUUCCAAGUUUAUUUCAAAACAGCUGACUAUCACAGAUAUAGCCCAUCUUUAAGUAGUACCUACCAGAGCCUUGGGCCUCAGCACGUCCGUCUCAGUACCAGCACAGCAACACCCCCAACUUCAAGUCGGUUCUCACCUAGGUCUCUGUCCGCUGUACAGUGGCUACUUUUCUAAUAUCUAUAAAAGCGAC